rnacentral:misc_RNA from 1 species
AAGUCGUAACAAGGUUUCCGUAGGUGAACCUGCGGAAGGAUCAUUAACACGUAUCCAACGUUAAAACCCCCCGUGAACCUCGUUAGAAAGUGGCAAUCCCUGGUAAAUCAUCGCCGAACAGUUUUGAUUCAGGGACUUCUGCGUGGGUAGGACAACUGCGCGAGCAAGUGGCCUGGCAUCCCUCUGCUUGUUAGUGUCUGAAAGUGUCACUAGCUCUGUACGGGUGGCGCAAUCACGAUCGCUAGGCCAACACGGCCGGCGACCGGGUCAAUGGGCCCUCGGCCCCCUAAUCACCUUUGCAUGAAAACGGGCCUGCGCUUAAUUGUGCGGCCACCAAACUCGAACAACUGUUAACAAUGGAUAUCUUGGUUCUC